GGCUGAGUUGCCUGCUUAAGGUCACACCAUUUAUCACUGCCGAGCUGUGGCUGACUCCCGUGAACUCCGAGGCCACUUGUUCCCACUAAGUGCUGCCUUGAAAUGCAGGUGGAUGGGAUAUUGCCAUUUUCAGUCUUUAAUCUUCUGUAUAGGAUUGUUUAGGUAGUUUCUUACCCAAAAGUAAGGGAGAAGACUGUAUAGGUGGCUUUCAUACCUUGUCACUUAGGAGCAGAAUCUACUUGUUAAACAAUUUAUUUCACUUUUUUUUUUCAUGUAUUUGGUGCUUACUCACUAGAUGAAGAAGAUCUAGAACGACUUCUCUUUCUGUUCCUCUCAGGAGAUGAUGAUGAACUUGAGUAAGAUCUUUUUCGUGGGGAAGAACCCCUGUGGGACCUGGAGCUGGAUCUUGAUUUCGACCCACGAGAUCUCGAACGUUCUCUGGAACUGGAACGAGAUCUUGACUGCGAACUGGAAGAACUUCUUGAACGCGACCUGGACCUAGACCUUGAACUGGAGGGGGAGGAUGAGCGUGAUGAAGAUCGUGAGUGUGAAGACCGAGACUUUGAACGACUUCGUCUGUUAGAUUUCUUUUUAUUACUAUCUUCUUCUUCACUGGCAUCAAGAUUAUAUUUUGAGAGAUCAGCAUCAUCUUCAUCCUCAUCCUCAUCUAAUUUAUAUUUAGAAAGAUCUUCAUCCUCAUCCUCUUCUCCCUCAGACUCUUUAUCUUCAACUUCCUUUAAAAUAGAUGCAGGACCAACUGCCUUCCCUCUGUAUUUUUUCUUCUUACGUCCAAACUCAUCAUAUUCACCAUCAGAUUCUUCUCUUUCUAUGUAUUCAACAUUUUCUCUUUCAUUAAAACCACCACCAUAUCCUGUUCUUUCUUCCAGUUUAGCAUACUUUGGAGUAUUACACAUAUUACACUCUGAUCUUCUGGCCCAAUUCACGUUACUGCAAGUUUUACACUGCCAGUCAUUAGCACUAAAUAAGCCUCGGCUCUUUUCUGCGAGUGUCUUUCCUAUUUCAGUGCCCCCCUGCUUUCAUCAUCUUAGCCUCAGUUGUUUUCUCUCGACCACAUCUAUUACAGCUAGUUCUUCUAGCAAAGUUUACAUUUCCACAUUUUUUGUCCGGGCAAAUCCAGUCACCGUCACUGACUCUGAAAUUCUUGGUCGACAUCUUGGACACCGCCACCACAACCACCCGCAGCUACCUAUACUGGUUUUCAAUCACUGUCUUUUAUCCCACUUGUUCUCCAUACAUUUCUUGCUAUGAGUUGCUCUUUUUCCUGGUGCAAUAAUUUGGCAAAUUCUUUGACACUUAGGGUAACUAUCGAUUUCUGCAGAGAAUUUUAUUUCUUUCUUCCAUUUUUUUAGGUCAUCACAAAUCCAGGGCCAUUAUAACAUAAAGUCAGGGCUUGAGGUUAUUUUGGCCCAAAAUAGUAAAGCAGAUUUGGACUGCAAAUCAUAGGAAGGCUAGCCCAUGGUUUCAAAUCUUAAAAAACAGUUGUUUGCCCUUUUUUUUUUUUUUUUUUUUUUGCUGCCUCAAAAGGCAAAUUUUCUUAUAAUACUCUUGUAUUAGAGGACGCAGCAGAUUUUAUUUUGUCUCACCCUUACUCUCAGCAUGUGAGUCUUGGUUCCCCAGAUUUUCAGCUAGAGGAUGCCUCAUAUGUUCCCCAUGUGGUUGAGCUCUAGGUAUCAUUUCCUGUCUGUUAUAGCUCAUGAGCUUGAGAAAACAAAAGCUAAGAUUUUUUCAGAUUUGGCAAAUGCCCUAAGGAUAAAAACAACUUUUCUCUCUUUUCUAUAACCACAUAGAUAUUUUUGGUCUAAAUGAUUACUCUCUUGAUUGCUUUCUUGAUUUCAUUCUUCUGGAUGUUUUUAUAUUUUGUCUAUUAUUUCUAGUCAUUUUUAGUGGACGAGACAGCUUUAAAACCUAACCUAUCAUGUAACUGGAAAUGGAGCCCAAAUUAACCUUUUUUUUUUUUUUCAUUUCUGCUAUUUAUCUUGCAUCAGGAUAUAAGAACUGAAAUAUAAAUCUACCUAAACCAGUGCUACUCUGUGUGUUCUGCAAGCCAGUGCUGGUUUGUCAACUGUUUAUUGUCAGCCUAGAAUAAGAUACAUACAAGUACUGAAAGUGAAUAUAAGCUAGUAAACUUCUACCUUAUUUGUCCCAGAUUGACAAUUGCCAAGAUAAAGAUGAGCAUUUAUAUCAUGUCAUUGAAUCUGCUAAAAAGGUUAUUUAUUAGCUCUUCACAGACCAGAGAUUGAGCAGCAUGGUGUCUAAACUAGGAUGAUUUUUUGCUGGAAUCACAUAAAAACUGGUAAAUGUUACAGAUACUCUUCCCAGAAAUAUGUGCAUGUAAAAAUAUAAAAUUUAAUAUGAAAUCUCUCUCUCUCUCUCUCUCUCUAUAUAUAUAUAUAUAUACACACACACAUAUAUAUACACAUAUAUAUGUAUGUAUAUGUAUAUAUGGACUUCUGCAGUGGCUCAGAUGGUAAAGAAUCUGCCUGCAAUGCAGGAGACCCAGGUUCAAUCCCUGGAUCAGGGAAAUCCCCUGGCGAAGAGAAUGGUUACCCACUCCAGUAUUCUUGCCUAGAGAAUUCCAUGGGCAGAGAAGCCUGGCAGGCUAUACUGUCCAUGGUGUCGCAAAGAGUCAGACAUGACAGAUAUCUGAAGUGUUAUGGAUCUUAGUUUUUUAAUCCUAGCAAGGGACAAGGUGCAAAAGAAGAUUUUGAGUGAUCAUUUCAUCAUUCCACAAUGUCUGUCCACUUAUUUGUGAAUAUAAACUGCAGAAGCCAAAGGCGGACCCAAUAACAGACUAUCAGGAAGAUAUGUUGGAAGAUGUCAUUUAUUAGUCACUUGUUCAUCCAACCAAACCCCUCAUCCCCAGAACCUGUACCCUCUUCCCACACUGGAUAAUUUAAUACUUACUUGCACACUUAAAGACUCUUGGUAGGAGGCAGAGACCACUUCCUUGCAUAAGAGAGGAAAUCUCACUUUCCCAAGCGUUCUUGCAGAUGGGCAGGACAUGAAGCCCAACAGGCAGGUGACCACAUGCCAGUUCUCUGGCUCAGGACUUGGUAACAGAGAAAGCUGUCCUAGGGCCAAGGCGCAGUGUCCAGCAUCAGGGGAGUCAGUGGUGUGAGCACUGGCAUCUGGGCCUAACAGCAUGGGCAGUGGUGCCUUUGUGGGACCCGACCUGGGGUGAGAUUUUGCAUCCAGUUCUUAGCUAUGUAGUCUUAAGACUAUUUUAUGGCUUUCCCUGAAAUAAAUA
ensembl:lncRNA